UCUUGGUCAUUUAGAGGAAGUAAAAGUCGUAACAAGGUCUUCGUAGGUGAACCUGCGGAGGGAUCAUUACCGAGUUAGGGUCCUCACAGGCCCGACCUCCCAACCCAUUGUUUAUGAUACUCAGUGUUGCUUCGGCAGGCCUGGUCUUUGACCUGCCGGAGGGCCGUAACACGCCCCCCGGAGAGCGCCUGCCGACGGCCCCAACUUCAAAAUUCUUAACUAAACAUGUCUUUGUCUAAGUAAAGUCUUUAAUAAAAGCAAAACUUUCAACAACGGAUCUCUUGGUUCUGGCAUCGAUGAAGAACGCAGCGAAAUGCGAUAAGUAAUGCGAAUUGCAGAAUUCUCGUGAGUCAUCGAAUCUUUGAACGCACAUUGCGCCCUUUGGUAUUCCGAAGGGCAUGCCUGUUCGAGCGUCAUUUUCACCCCUCAAGCCCCCGGCUUGGUGUUGGACGGUUUGGUCCCGGGACCCCCCUGGACCCCUCCCAAAGACAAUGACGGCGGGCUGUCGCACCCCCGGUACACUGAGCAUCUUCACGGAGCACGUACCGGUCUUCAGGGUCGACGGCACCCGGUCUCACACCUAUAUCUUUCAAGGUUGACCUCGGAUCAGGUAGGAAUACCCGCUGAACUUAAGCAUAUCAAUAAGCGGAGGAA
rnacentral:rRNA from 1 species